GUGUCAGCCGCCGCGGUAAUACGGAGGGUGCAAGCGUUAAUCGGAAUUACUGGGCGUAAAGCGUGCGUAGGCGGUUAUUUAAGUCAGAUGUGAAAGCCCCGGGCUCAACCUGGGAACUGCAUUUGAUACUGGGUAACUAGAGUUUAGUAGAGGAGAGCGGAAUUUCCGGUGUAGCGGUGAAAUGCGUAGAUAUCGGAAGGAACACCAGUGGCGAAGGCGGCUCUCUGGACUAAAACUGACGCUGAGGUACGAAAGCGUGGGUAGCAAACAGGAUUAGAAACCCCCGUAGUCC
rnacentral:rRNA from 1 species